rnacentral:pre_miRNA from 1 species
AAAAUACUCCUUCCGUCCGGAAAUAAUUGUCAUAGAAGUAGAUGUAUCUAGACUUAUUUUAGUUAUAGAUACAUUCAUUUUAUACAUUUCUAGGACAAGUAUUUCCGGACGGAGGGAGUAUGUU